rnacentral:rRNA from 1 species
CUCAGGAUGAACGCUGGCGGCGUGCCUAAUACAUGCAAGUCGAGCGGCAGCACGGUCUUCGGACUGGUGGCGAGCGGCGGACGGCUGAGUAACGCGUAGGAACAUGCCCCAAAGUGAGGAAUAACUGCCCGAAAGGGUGGCUAAUGCCGCAUGUGGUCUUCGGACUAAAGCUUUAUGCGCUUUGGGAGUGGCCUGCGUCCGAUUAGCUUGUUGGUGAGGUAAUGGCUCACCAAGGCGACGAUCGGUAGCUGGUCUGAGAGGAUGAUCAGCCAGACUGGAACUGAGAACGGUCCAGACUCCUACGGGAGGCAGCAGUAGGGAAUUUUCCACAAUGGGCGAGAGCCUGAUGGAGCAACGCCGCGUGCAGGAUGAAUGCCUUCGGGUUGUAAACUGCUUUUAUGUGCGAAGAAUUUGACUGUAACACAUGA